rnacentral:rRNA from 2 species
UACGAAGGGGGCUAGCGUUGUUCGGAAUUACUGGGCGUAAAGCGCACGUAGGCGGGUGGUUAAGUUAGGGGUGAAAUCCCGGAGCUCAACUCCGGAACUGCCUUUGAUACUGGCCAUCUAGAGAUCGGAAGAGGUGAGUGGAAUUCCCAGUGUAGAGGUGAAAUUCGUAGAUAUUGGGAAGAACACCGGUGGCGAAGGCGGCUCACUGGUCCGAUACUGACGCUGAGGUGCGAAAGCGUGGGGAGCAAACAGG